UAUUUGUGUGUUAUAGUGCUUCGUAUGCGGCCUCAGGACGCCCGAGAUCCCGCGCAGCGCCGCGUGCGCGGACGCGUUCUCGGGGGACUUCCUGCCGCUCGCGCCCAUCGACGCGCGCGCCAGAGGACAGAUCGCCACCUUCAGGAAAUACUGCCGACAUCUCGAUGUGCACAACUACGUGGAGAAUCCUUCAGAGCCGCGCUCGAUCUACGGGCGCUUCACGGGCGGCUGCGGCGUGCGCUGGACGGACCUGACGGGCGUCUACACGCAGCGCACCUGCCGCGCUCGCUUCCGACCCAUGAUGGGCUUGCAUUUCGCUAGCAAGAGGAUGGCUAAGCUGGAGCUGGCACUUAUAAACGUAGAAAACGGCUGCAUAGUGAGUCCGAUGGCGUCGCUCCUAGCGAUGUCUCGCGGCGUCUCCCUGUACGCGCGCUUCCACGCCUGCGUGUGUUCCGGCAACUGGUGCAACCGCGCCCCUCGCCCCCUCCCGCCGCCCGCGCUCCCCGCGCUCGCCAUGCUGGCCACACGGGCCUGGAUCCUGCGCUAAGACAUGAAUAGACUCCAUGCUACUCGCGAAGUUGGUGAUACGAGGAGUUUCGCUGUAGGUUACUCUUUCGUCAUUGGUCCAAAAUUAAAGAACCUUAAUUCAAAGCAGGCUGAAAAACAGCACCGUUCGAACGUCAAAAUUACAUAAAACCAGCUGCCGAACCUUUUCCCAACUAUGUUGGGGUCGGCUUUCAGUCUAACCAGAUGCAGCUGAGUACCAGUAUUUUACAAGGAGCGACUGCCUGUCUGACCUCCUCGAGCCAGUUACCCGGGCAGACUAAUACCUCUUGGUU